GAUGAAGAACGUAGCGAAAUGCGAUAAGUAAUGCGAAUUGCAGAAUUCCGUGAGUCAUCGAAUCUUUGAACGCACAUUGCGCCCUUUGGCAUUCCGAAGGGCAUGCCUGUUCGAGCGUCAUUUAUCAACCCUCAAGCCCGGCUUGCGGUUGGGUCCCGCCGUGGGCGACCACGGCGGACCCGAAAGGUAAUGGCGGUGCCCGUGGGGCCCUGGACGCAGCGAGCUUCUCGGCACGCGUCCCGGCGGUCCCCGGCGCCGUCUCCACCAAUCCACCACGCAGAUUGACCUCGGAUCAGGUAGGGAUACCCGCUGAACUUAAGCAUAUCAAUAUGCGGAGGA
rnacentral:misc_RNA from 1 species